UGAUAUUGCUUUUGGUCACCCAUUAUACAUGAAAAGACCAGAAUUUUGCUGAAUGGGUGCUGAUCUAAAGGCAUCCUGACAAUCCCAAUUCCAAGCAAAAACACAGGAAUAUUUAUGAAGUCCAUUAUCUGCACUUUUUCCUG